UACCAUCAGGUGGUCUGGCGUGCAGCGGUA
rnacentral:sRNA from 1 species